UACGUAGGGGGCAAGCGUUGUCCGGAAUUAUUGGGCGUAAAGAGCGUGUAGGCGGUCCGGUAAGUCAGCUGUGAAAGUCAAGGGCUCAACCCUUGAAUGCCGGUUGAUACUGUCGGGCUAGAGUCCGGAAGAGGCGAGUGGAAUUCCCAGUGUAGCGGUGAAAUGCGUAGAUAUUGGGAAGAACACCGGAGGCGAAGGCGGAUUGCUGGGCCGACACUGACGCUGAGGCGCGAAAGCCAGGGGGGCAAACGGG
rnacentral:rRNA from 1 species